rnacentral:rRNA from 1 species
UACCGAGGUUGCUAGCGUUGUUCGGAAUUACUGGGCGUAAAGCGCACGUAGGCGGCUUUGUAAGUUAGAGGUGAAAGCCCGGGGCUCAACUCCGGAAUUGCCUUUAAGACUGCAUCGCUAGAAUUGUGGAGAGGUAAGUGGAAUUCCGAGUGUAGAGGUGAAAUUCGUAGAUAUUCGGAAGAACACCAGUGGCGAAGGCGACUUACUGGACACAUAUUGACGCUGAGGUGCGAAAGCGUGGGGAGCAAACAGG